CAAGUUAGAAGUGGCAGACCAUUGGUGAGAACAUGAUCUAACCUAACUUCAAGAAAGUCUGGAAAAUACAGAGAUACAUGAAAUGUAUUUUAUAAUGGCUAGAGCUGGAAACACAUCAUGUAUCCAGAAGGAAAAGGGCAAGAAGAUUGCAGGAUCCACAGACCUGGUAUUCCCAAACAGCUGAACCAGUAUCAGUACACCUCUGGAUUUCCCAUUACUUGAGAAAAAUAAACUCUUUCGUUUUAGCCA